rnacentral:rRNA from 1 species
GACAGAGGGUGCAAACGUUGCUCGGAAUCACUGGGCGUAAAGGGCUCGUAGGCGGCCAACUAAGUCAGACGUGAAAUCCCUCGGCUUAACCGGGGAACUGCAUCUGAUACUGGAUGGCUUGAGUUCGGGAGAGGGAUGCGGAAUUCCAGGUGUAGCGGUGAAAUGCGUAGAUAUCUGGAGGAACACCGGUGGCGAAGGCGGCAUCCUGGACCGACACUGACGCUGAGGAGCGAAAGCCAGGGGAGCAAACGGG